rnacentral:lncRNA from 1 species
GUUAUGGUUAUGUUUAGGGUUAGGGUUAGGGUUAGGGUUAGGGUUAGGGUUAGGGUUAGGGUUAGGGUUAGGGUUAGGGUUAGGGUUAGGGUUAGGGUUAGGGUUAGGGUUAGGGUUAGGGUUAGGGUUAGGGUUAGGGUUAGAGUUAAGUUUAGGGAAGUGUUGAAAUUCAAGUAGCAGAGUAUUGAAGUGUGGAUAUCAUGGUUAGGGUUAAGGUUAGGGUUAGGUUUAGGGUAGUGUUAGGGUUAUUGUCAGUGAUUGAAUUCAGGAAUCAGAGUAUUGUAGCAUGGGUAGU